UCCUUGGUUUCGGCCGGGGAUCCUAGUGGCGGACGGGUGAGUAACGCGUGGGGACCUGCCCCGAGCUCUGGGACAACCGCGGGAAACUGCGGCUAAUACCGGAUGAUGCCCUUUUGGGCCAAAGCUCAGGCGGCUUGGGAGGGGCCCGCGUCCGAUUAGCUGGUUGGUGGGGUAACGGCCCACCAAGGCUGUGAUCGGUAGCUGGUCUGAGAGGACGAUCAGCCACACUGGGACUGAGAUACGGCCCAGACUCCUACGGGAGGCAGCAGUGGGGAAUCUUGGACAAUGGGGGCAACCCUGAUCCAGCGACGCCGCGUGGGUGAUGAAGGCCUUCGGG
rnacentral:rRNA from 1 species